rnacentral:rRNA from 1 species
AUUGAACGCUGGCGGCAGGCCUAACACAUGCAAGUCGAACGAGUGGCGGACGGGUGAGUAAUGCUUGGGAAUCUGCCUUACGGAGGGGGAUAACUACGGGAAACUGUAGCUAAUACCGCGUACCCUAGGAUGAGCCCAUGUGGGAUUAGCUAGUUGGUGAGGUAAAGGCUCACCAAGGCGACGAUCUCUAGCUGGUCUGCGAGGGUGAACAGCCACACUGGGACUGAGGAACGGCCCAGAGUCCUACGGGAGGCAGCAGUGGGGAAUAUUGCGCAAGUGGGGGAACCUGACGCAGCCAAGCCGCGUGAAUGAAGAAGGCCUUCGGGUUGUAAAGUUCUUUCGGUAGCGAGGCGUUAACUACAGAAGAAGCACCGGCUAACUCCGUGCCAGCAGCCGCGGUAAUUC